rnacentral:rRNA from 1 species
UACGAAGGGGGCUAGCGUUGCUCGGAAUCACUGGGCGUAAAGCGCACGUAGGCGGAUUGUUAAGUCAGGGGUGAAAUCCUGGAGCUCAACUCCAGAACUGCCCUUGAUACUGGCGAUCUCGAGUUCGGGAGAGGUGAGUGGAACUGCGAGUGUAGAGGUGAAAUUCGUAGAUAUUCGCAAGAACACCAGUGGCGAAGGCGGCUCACUGGCCCGAUACUGACGCUGAGGCGCGAAAGCCAGGGGAGCGAACAGG